rnacentral:rRNA from 1 species
CUGUAAGCCUGUGAAGGUGUGCUGUGAGGCAUGCUGGAGGUAUCAGAAGUGCGAAUGCUGACAUAAGUAACGAUAAAGCGGGUGAAAAGCCCGCUCGCCGGAAGACCAAGGGUUCCUGUCCAACGUUAAUCGGGGCAGGGUGAGUCGACCCCUAAGGCGAGGCCGAAAGGCGUAGUCGAUGGGAAACAGGUUAAUAUUCCUGUACUUGGUGUUACUGCGAAGGGGGGACGGAGAAGGCUAUGUUGGCCGGGCGACGGUUGUCCCGGUUUAAGCGUGUAGGCUGGUUUUCCAGGCAAAUCCGGAAAACCAAGGCUGAGGCGUGAUGAC